rnacentral:rRNA from 1 species
ACGAACGCUGGCGGCGUGCCUAACACAUGCAAGUCGAGCGAGGGACUUCGGUUCCUAGCGGCGGACGGGUGAGUAACACGUGGGUAACCUGCCUCAUAGAGGGGGAUAGCCUCCGAAAGGGAGAUUAAUACCGCAUAUUAUCAUGCUGACGCAUGUCAGAAUGAUGAAAGGAGCAAUCCGCUAUGAGAUGGACCCGCGGCGCAUUAGCUAGUUGGUGAGGUAACGGCUCACCAAGGCGACGAUGCGUAGCCGACCUGAGAGGGUGAUCGGCCACAUUGGAACUGAGACACGGUCCAGACUCCUACGGGAGGCAGCAGUGGGGAAUAUUGCACAAUGGGCGAAAGCCUGAUGCAGCAACGCCGCGUGAGUGAUGAAGGCCUUCGGGUUGUAAAGCUCUGUCUUUUGGGACGAUAAUGACGGUACCAAAGGAGGAAGCCACGGCUAACCUACGUGGCCAGCAAGCCGCCGGUAAUACGUAGGUGGCAAGCGUUGUCCGGAUUUACUGGGCGUAAAGGAUGCGUAGGUGAUAUUUAAGUGGGAUGUGAAAUACCCGAGCUCAACUUGGGUGCUGCAUUCCAAACUGGAUAUCUAGAGUGCAGGAGAGGUAAGUGGAAUUCCUAGUGUAGCGGUGAAAUGCGUAGAGAUUAGGAAGAACACCAGUGGCGAAGGCGACUUACUGGACUGUAACUGACACUGAGGCAUGAAAGCGUGGGAGCAAACAGGAUUAGAUACCCUGGUAGUCCACGCCGUAACGAUGGGUACUAGUGUAGGAGGGUCCAACCUUCUGUGCGCCGUUAACACAAUAAGUACCCCGCCUGGGGAGUACGGUCGCAAGAUUAAACUCAAAGGAAUUGACGGGGCCCGCACAAGCAGCGGAGCAUGUGGUUUAAUUCGAAGCAACGCGAAGAACCUUACCUAGAUUGACAUCUCCUGAAUUACCCUAAUCGGGGAAGCCCUUCGGGGCAGGAGACAGGUGGUGCAUGGUUGUCGUCAGCUCGUGUCGUGAGAUGUUGGGUUAAGUCCCGCAACGAGCGCAACCCUUAUCAUUAGUUGCUACCAUUAGUUGAGCACUCUAGUGAGACUGCCGAGUUAACCGGAGGAAGGGGGGGAUGACGUCAAAUCAUCAUGCCCCUUAUGUCUAGGGCUACACACGUGCUACAAUGGUAGGUACAACAAGACGCAAGACCGCGAGGUGGAGCAAAACUGUAAAACCUAUCCAGUUCGGAUUGUAGGCUGAAAACUCGCCUACAUGAAGCGGAGUUGCUAGUAAUCGCGAAUCAGCAUGUCGCGGUGAAUACGUUCCCGGCCUUGUACACACCGCCCGUCACACCAUGAGAGUUGGCAAUACCCAAAGUCCGUGAGACAACCGUAAGGAGCCAGCGGCCUAAGGUAGGGUCAGCGAUUGGGGUG